rnacentral:rRNA from 1 species
AUUGAACGCUGGCGGCAGGCUUAACACAUGCAAGUCGAGCGGGGGAAAGUACUUCGGUACUGACCUUAGCGGCGGACGGGUGAGUAAUACUUAGGAAUCUGCCUAUUAGUGGGGGACAACAUCUCGAAAGGGAUGCUAAUACCGCAUACGUCCUACGGGAGAAAGCAGGGGAUCUUUAUGACCUUGCGCUAAUAGAUGAGCCUAAGUCGGAUUAGCUAGUUGGUGGGGUAAAGGGCUACCAAGGCGACGAUCUGUAGCGGGUCUGAGAGGAUGAUCCGCCACAAUGGGACUGCGACACGGCCCACACUCCUCCGGGAGGCGGCAGUGGGGAAGAUGUGACAAUGGGGGGCACCGUGAUCCAGCCAUGCCGCGUGUGUGACGAACGCCUUAUGGUUGUAAAGCACUUUAAGCGAGGAGGAGGCUCUUAUGGUUAACACCCAAGAGGAGUGGACGUUACGCGCGGACUAAGCGCCGGCUAACUCUGUGCCAGCCGCCGCCGUAA